rnacentral:rRNA from 1 species
GGCGAACGGGUGAGUAACACGUGAGUAACCUGCCCUUGACUUUGGGAUAACUUCAGGAAACUGGGGCUAAUACCGGAUAGGAGCUCCUGCUGCAUGGUGGGGGUUGGAAAGUUUCGGCGGUUGGGGAUGGACUCGCGGCUUAUCAGCUUGUUGGUGGGGUAGUGGCUCACCAAGGCUUUGACGGGUAGCCGGCCUGAGAGGGUGACCGGCCACAUUGGGACUGAGAUACGGCCCAG